rnacentral:rRNA from 1 species
GAUCCAGACUUUGAUCCUGGCUCAGGAUGAACGCUAGCUACAGGCUUAACACAUGCAAGUCGAGGGGAAACGACAUCGAAAGCUUGCUUUUGAUGGGCGUCGACCGGCGCACGGGUGAGUAACGCGUAUCCAACCUGCCCACCACUUGGGGAUAACCUUGCGAAAGUAAGACUAAUACCCAAUGAUAUCUCUAGAAGACAUCUGAAAGGGAUUAAAGAUUUAUCGGUGAUGGAUGGGGAUGCGUCUGAUUAGCUUGUUGGCGGGGUAACGGCCCACCAAGGCGACGAUCAGUAGGGGUUCUGAGAGGAAGGUCCCCCACAUUGGAACUGAGACACGGUCCAAACUCCUACGGGAGGCAGCAGUGAGGAAUAUUGGUCAAUGGACGAGAGUCUGAACCAGCCAAGUAGCGUGCAGGAAGACGGCCCUAUGGGUUGUAAACUGCUUUUAUAAGGGAAUAAAGUGAGUCUCGUGAGACUUUUUGCAUGUACCUUAUG